GCUGGCGGCGCGCUUAACACAUGCAAGUCGAACGAGAAAGUGGAGCAAUCCAUGAGUACAGUGGCGUACGGGUGAGUAACACGUGGGUAAUCUACCUCUUAGUGGGGAAUAACCCUGGGAAACCGGGGCUAAUACCGCAUAAUCCCGAGAGGGGAAAGUCGUAAGACGCUGAGAGAGGAGCCCGCGGCCGAUUAGCUAGUUGGAGGGGUAAGAGCCCCCCAAGGCAGAGAUCGGUAGCCGGCCUGAGAGGGCACACGGCCACACUAACACUGAAACACGGGCCAGACUCCUACGGGAGGCAGCAGUGGGGAAUCUUGCACAAUGGGGGCAACCCUGAUGCAGCGACGCCGCGUGAGCGAUGAAGCCCUUCGGGGUGUAAAGCUCUUUCGGCAGGGAAGAUGAUGACGGUACCUGCAGAAGCAGCUGCGGCUAACUACGUGCCAGCAGCCGCGGUAAUACGUAGGCAGCAAGCGUUGUUCGGAGUUACUGGGCGUAAAGGGUGUGUAGGCGGCUUUUUAAGUUUGGUGUGAAAUCUCCCGGCUUAACUGGGAGGGUGCGCCGAAUACUGAAAGGCUAGAGUGCGGGAGAGGAAAGUGGAAUUC
rnacentral:rRNA from 1 species